rnacentral:rRNA from 1 species
UGAGGAAUAUUGGUCAAUGGACGCGAGUCUGAACCAGCCAAGUAGCGUGAAGGAUGACUGCCCUAUGGGUUGUAAACUUCUUUUAUAUGGGAAUAAAGUGGUCCACGUGUGGAUUUUUGUAUGUACCAUAUGAAUAAGGAUCGGCUAACUCCGUGCCAGCAGCCGCGGUAAUACGGAGGAUCCGAGCGUUAUCCGGAUUUAUUGGGUUUAAAGGGAGCGUAGGCGGAUUGUUAAGUCAGUUGUGAAAGUUUGCGGCUCAACCGUAAAAUUGCAGUUGAUACUGGCAGUCUUGAGUGCAGUAGAGGUGGGCGGAAUUCGUGGUGUAGCGGUGAAAUGCUUAGAUAUCACGAAGAACUCCGAUUGCGAAGGCAGCUCACUGGAGUGUAACUGACGCUGAUGCUCGAAGGUGUGGGUAUCAAACAGGAUUAGAUACCCUGGUAGUCCACACAGUAAACGAUGAAUACUCGCUGUUUGUGAUAUACAGUAAGCGGCCAAGCGAAAGCAUUAAGUAUUCCACCUGGGGAGUACGCCGGCAACGGUGAAACUCAAAGGAAUUGACGGGGGCCCGCACAAGCGGAGGAACAUGUGGUUUAAUUCGAUGAUACGCGAGGAACCUUACCCGGGCUUAAAUUGCAAAUGAAUUAUGGGGAAACCCAUAGGCCGUAAGGCAUUUGUGAAGGUGCUGCAUGGUUGUCGUCAGCUCGUGCCGUGAGGUGUCGGCUUAAGUGCCAUAACGAGCGCAACCCUUGCCACUAGUUACUAACAGGUAAAGCUGAGGACUCUGGUGGGACUGCCAGCGUAAGCUGCGAGGAAGGCGGGGAUGACGUCAAAUCAGCACGGCCCUUACAUCCGGGGCGACACACGUGUUACAAUGGCGUGGACAAAGGGAAGCCACCUGGCGACAGGGAGCGAAUCCCCAAACCACGUCUCAGUUCGGAUCGGAGUCUGCAACCCGACUCCGUGAAGCUGGAUUCGCUAGUAAUCGCGCAUCAGCCAUGGCGCGGUGAAUACGUUCCC